ACGCCUAACACAUGCAAGUCGAACGCAGUAGCAAUACUGAGUGGCGAACGGGUGAGUAUAAUGUGGGUAUCUGCCUUUUGGUUUGGAAUAACACGGGGAAACUUGUGCUAAUACCGGAUAAGCCUUUACAGGGAAAGUUUUAACGCCAAAAGAUGAGCCCAUACUUGAUUAGCUAGUUGGUAAGGUAAUAGCUUACCAAGGCUACGAUCAAUAGCUGAUCUGAGAGGAUGAUCAGCCACAUUGGGACUGAGACACGGCCCAAACUCCUACGGGGGGCAGCAGUGGGGAAUCUUGCACAAUGGGGGAAACCCUGAUGCAGCGAUGCCGCGUGAGUGAAGAAGGCCCUUGGGUUGUAAAGCUCUUUCGUCGGGGAAGAAAAUGACUGUACCCGAAUAAGAAGGUCCGGCUAACUUCGUGCCAGCAGCCGCGGUAAUACGAAGGGACCUAGCGUAGUUCGGAAUUACUGGGCUUAAAGAGCUCGUAGGUGGUUAGAAAAGUUGGUGGUGAAAUCCCAAGGCUUAACCUUGGAACUGCCACCAAAACUUUUUGACUAGAGUAUGAUAGAGGUAAGUGGAAUUUCUAGUGUAGAGGUGAAAUUCGUAGAUAUUAGAAAGAACACCAAUUGCGAAGGCAACUUUCUGGAUCAUUACUGACACUGAGGAGCGAAAGCAUGGGUAGCGAAGAGGAUUAGAUACCCUCGUAGUCCAUGCUGUAAACGAUGUGUGCUAGACGUUGGAAAUUUAAUUUUCAGUGUCGCAGCAAAAGCGUUAAGCACACCGCCUGGGGAGUACGACCG
rnacentral:rRNA from 1 species